CAUCAGCUUUUGCUGCCUUCUUUCCAUCACUGGUACUAGAAAGCUUAGUUGGAAGAAGCAAUCGCUUUACCUUAGCAGGAUCGUCCAAAUAGACACGUAAUCCAGUCAAAAAACCAGNCAAUUGCACCAGCAUCCAUUAGAAGCUUCUCCCUUAAGGUAACCUGUGGCUGUGAAGGAUUAUCUCCAUAUGUCAGGUGAAAGCCGGCUCUAGAAAGAAGGUUUCUAAAGAUAUCUUCUUCAUCUCCACUCACUCCUUCACUGUCUUCAGAAUCAAUGAGUUCAUCAGGAUCAGUUGUUAAAGCAUCAUGAUCAUCCUCAGAGGCCAAGACCUCUAGAUCUGAAAACUCAAACCAAGGACAGCAAUCCAAUAUUUCACAAACAAAAACAACAGUGUCACGCA
rnacentral:misc_RNA from 1 species